rnacentral:rRNA from 1 species
AACGAACGCUGGCGGCAUGCCUAACACAUGCAAGUCGAACGAGACCUUCGGGUCUAGUGGCGCACGGGUGCGUAACGCGUGGGAACCUUCCCUUAGGUUCGGAAUAACUCCCCGAAAGGGGUGCUAAUACCGGAUAAUGUCUUCGGACCAAAGAUUUAUCGCCUUUGGAUGGGCCCGCGUUGGAUUAGCUAGUUGGUAGGGUAAAAGCCUACCAAGGCGACGAUCCAUAGCUGGUCUGAGAGGAUGAUCAGCCACACUGGGACUGAGACACGGCCCAGACUCCUACGGGAGGCAGCAGUGGGGAAUAUUGGACAAUGGGCGAAAGCAUGAUCCAGCAAUGACGCGUGAGUGAUGAAGGCCUUAGGGUUGUAAAGCUCUUUUACCCGGGAUGAUAAUGACAGUACCGGGAGAAUAAGCUCCGGCUAACUCCGUG